ensembl:lncRNA
GAUUUUGCCUCUUGAUAAAUAUGAAAUUAUUUUGUAAAUCAUCAAACAAUGUAUUCCUGUUAGAGAUGAUAGUAACGAUUAUUACGCUUUUCACGAGUCAGCCCACCUUCUGCAUCUACUGAGAGUGGCAGGGAAGACUUUGAGCCUUCCUCCUUUCCAAGAGCUGUUAACAACCGGUACAGAUAGAAAUUCCAGGUGACAGUUAAACCAGUUAGUCCCGGGGAGAAAUAAUAAAGGGGAAGAUGAGAAAUUGAAUAGAGGGAAAGAUUGAAAGAGAGAAAAGACAAGGCAGCAGGGAGUAGCUCCCACAGUCUUAGGAAAGAGGAGGGGCCAAGGAUCCAGCUCAGCAUUCAUUCUCCGGACAACCCUGUGAGGUCAAUAUUAGAAUUGGCCCAUUUUACUCGUAGGAAACGUGGCUAUGGGGCUCUGUGGCAUCUAUUCCCCCUUCCUAACCACACACCGGUUCUCUUGUGAGGAGCGUGGUAACUGGUUUCCAAGAUGAUCCCAAUGAGGCUCGCCUUCUGGUAUUCCCACGCUUCACAGUCCCCACUCAAGUUGAAUCAAGCUGACCUGUUGUGUGUGCUUAAUACAUAUCAACUUGAUAUGUAUCAACUGCCAACCGUCCUAUAAGGUUCACCCGUCCGUAGGUGUAGCUGCUCAAAGGUCAUCUGCUCAUACCACCCCUUGGGAAUGUCACUUGCCGAGCUGUCCAUCAAGGCCCUCGCUGCCCCAGAAGAAGACCAGCACAGAGCAGGGAGGAGGGCAGGCAGCAAAGCUUUCUCUGCUGCUGGUGCCCUGUCCCCCGACACCGUGUGUGACUCCAGUCUGUCCUGAAAGCCUCUCUCUUCUGGUCACAUUGCAGAUGGAGGCACACCAUCACAGGAAGACACAAGGAAAAGCAGUGCCUUUUCGAAAACUAGUUUGAAGACCCUUAUUAAGGCCCCUGUGCUGUGGUAGGAAGAAUGCGGGAUUGAGGGGCCCUGCCGUGAACCAGCAGUGUGCCUUUGGGAAUAUGUCUCACCUGCUCACUCCUCAGUCCCCUCAUCUAUGAAAUGGGGACCUGAAUGCCCCAUGAGGUUGUUCUGAGGAUUAAAGGAAUUGAAAUGGGUCAAGUACAACGAAGAAUGUCACAAAUAAGUUAUGUUAUGCUAAUGAUAUAUUUCUUAGUUGCUAUUAUUACUGUUGUUGUCAUUGUUGUUAUUGAAUUGACUCUGUGGCAAUCAGCUUUGUGAUUUUGGGCAAGUCAGUGCACUUCUCAAAGCCCUUGGGCUCCUGCCCUCUUAGGAGCUCGCACACAUCCCACAGCAGUUGGCGAAUAGCGCUCUGUUCCAGGUUCUGAGAUCCAGAAAAAUGCCACAACUGCACAUUCAAGAGGCACAGCGACUGAUGAGGAGCGCUUACAGGGAUACGAGGGCACUGUCAGCAGUGGUAGGGGAGGUGGUCCACCUGGGUGAUGAGGGAGCCGGGAGAGGGCAAGUCCACCAUCGUACCUCCUCCCUGUCUCCCUUUCCCACCGGAAGAAUAAUUUCUCCAGUCUCCCCCCGCUUCCCCCUUGCACCCUGGAUCCCAGGAAGAGCUGUGCAAAGUGCUCUGAACAUCCUAUCCUAUGUGCCUACGAUUUCAAGAAAACAAUCACAUUUCGUCAAUUUAUUCCAGGAAACAGGUUCCAUAACAAAAGGAAAGGCCCAAACUUCUGAGAAAAUCUAUCCAUUUACAGAAUUUGUAGGGUCUUGCUCAUGUUUGAAUUUCCCCUACUGAUAACUGUUGGCAUUCCAUCUCCUGCCACGUCAAAUGCAUUCCCUGAGACUGGGUGUACCUUGCCAAGUUGGGACGGAAUUGCUCAUGGGCAGCCCACAGGAAUCAUUGGGUGCCUGAAGCUGUGCCAACACGCGAAGAGGAAGGAAGAGUGAGGAGAGUUAUGGGCUAAGGGCCAGGAGCAUACCCAACUGAGGCAUAGAGCAUACCAGGCAAGCCAGUCAUCUGGCCCCUGACUCAACUAAAAACAUUAUUUAGUUGCUAGCAUCAGAGACCUAACCGUAGUACCUUCAACAAGAGGUUUACUUCUCUCGCGCGUAAAAGAAGUCUGGAGGGCUUCUACGAUGGCUCCACAAACUCAUCAGGGACCCAGGCUCCUUGUAGCUUUCUGCUUCACUAUCCUAGUUCAUUGCUUUUAUCCUUCAUGUUUGCCUCAUGAUCCAAGAUGGCUGCUGAGAGCUCCAGCCAUUACAUUCACAGUCCAGGCAACGAGAAGGAGGAACCAAGGAAGGGUAAAAAGAGCGUGCACACACUCUACCUUUCACAGAACCUUCCCAGAAGUCCCAUACAACAAUUCUGCUUAUAUCUCAAUAGCCAGAGCUCAGCCACACAGCCGCUCCUCACUGCAGAGGGGAGGUUCUGUUACAUAUGGAGACACUGAGAGUUGUUUGAGAAAAAGAAGAGAAUGAGGACUGCUAGUAGUGGCACAGCCUCUGUUUUACUGUCCUGAACAAUUCUGCUCUGGCCCCAAAUUUGCACAGACACUUAGCACAAAAGUUUCAUAGAACACUGCAUUUACUUGUUACUCGAAUAUUCCGCAGGGAAUGUCAAAAGAUUUCUUCCAACCAUGUUCUAACUAUACUCUCCCACAGAGGAAUUCCAGUAAACAGAGUUUGCUCCAUGUCGGUACGUUUCCAAGGAUACUUUAGCUUAACAGCAAUGUUGAAACUCUCUUCAAAAACUGGUGGUCUGAGAAGUUACCCAGCAGGUACACUCGUAAGUCUGGUUCUGACUAGAAGACCUAGGUCUUAGUCUUGGC